GUAGGGCUGGCACCUCAGAGCUGCUUUGCUGUUUGUUGUGCCAGUUUUAGGAUUCGUUAUCCCAAAUUCCAGGUGAUGAUGUCUGCAGGCCUCGACGUUUAAGGGCCUGGCAGCCUCACAGUGCUGCCUGGGGUGGAAGAUGCCAGGUGGAGAAAGGCGAGGAGGAGAUGACAGGAGGACAACUGGUUGGUCACAGCCUUCCUGAACAUGGGACUGACAGCAGAGAUGCUACCCAGGUGUUCAGGCCUGCAGAGGACAGCAGGGUUCCCGUGGGAAGGGAUCGUCUCUUGAACGUUUGCUCUGCAUUCUUCCUUGGCAUCAGUCCUGGCCAUGAGUUUGUGUGAGAAACGGCCAUAAGUGCGUUCACCCUUCUGGCUGGCUCCGUGGCAAUGCAGUCACCAGCUCCCCGCCGACCUCGCAGCCAUGCAGCCUCGCAGAUAAGGAAACCCGUGCUGCUGCAGAGCUGGUUGUACUAGGGAAGCUGUAGCCUUUCCCUCUGCCUGCUCCCACAGUGAGUACCGCGUGCUUUUCCCUUGGCUGCGCCCUCACCAUCGCAACCAGAACCUCAGAGCCCUCAGUGCCACAUAGCUGUGUCGGAGGGGUGCUGUCUCAUGGAAAACAUUUAGGAUCAGAGCUUUCAAAUUAAAGAUAGAAAAAGACUGCUUGGGAACGAAGGCAAAGAGAAGAACAUUGUCCCGCAAAGCCACGUGCCUCGCUUGCAGUCUGGGAGCUGAGGCACAGCUUCUGACUUUGCUCUGCAGCCCCUGUGUCCCAACCACAACCCAGGACACUGAUCAACCUGAAGCUGCUGGUUUUCUUGUGAUGGGCUCCUGUAUGCGUUCCAAAUACUGUUGAGGCUGCUCUGUGGGUAUUUUUAGUAGAUGCUCAUGGCUGUCUGGGAUGGUGCUGGGUGCUCCCCUGCCCACGUCCGCCCGACAUGCAGCUCCUGCCCCACUGUGUGUGAGCGCUCUCCCUGGUGCAUCAGGUGCCAACGAGGAAAACAAAAGCCUCUUCUUCAUGAGCCCACGUCUGCAGUUAUUUCCAGUGCCUGUGUCCUCGUGUGCAUCCUGCAGCCCUUGGGGCUCCGACAGCAGGCACUGAGAAAAACCAAGCUUGGGAAAAAUCUAAAUACUUCCCAAGGAAGAACUUCAGGAAAUGCCCAUCAAACAGCUGAGCAGGGGAUUCCUGAGCAGGUUUCCUGUGCUUCUUUGAAAUGCUGAUAAAAAGCUUCGUGAGAUACCUGCACAGAGGAAUUUCCCAAACAGGGCACUGAAAGCUUCACACCACAAUGUAUGCGUGAUACUGGAGCUCCCACACGUGCUGGGUGUUUGGAUAGCGUUCUUAGACCUGCUGAAACCUGCGUAAUGUAGUAAUUAUGGGCUGCUAGCUGUUGAAAGGACUCGUGAAGCUACUCCAAGGGGCAGCUGUCACCUGGGUCCUUCGGAUCCCAGCUCAUGUUUGCCUCUGCACGUCCUCAGCAUGCAAACAGGGCUGAGGGAAAGCACCCUGCCUCCUCCUGUCCCUGGGUGCAGGAAUGGCAAUGGCCGGCAGCACUGACAUCUGCCUCCUGGUGUGACCCCAAGGAUGUGACUUUGGGACAGAACCAACAUGCAGCCAGGCACCCCUGAAAUGAAGCAGGGUUAUGGGAUCCAGCUCUGGCAUUAGUGUGCAGUCCUGAACAUCUGCACCAACAUUUGUGUGCCCAGCCAUCAUUGCAGCACCUGUACCCAUCUGAGCUGGCGCUGGCUGCAGCAUGAAGCCAGGUGAAGGGGUGGGUUCUUUGGGACUGGCAAAAUAUCCCAUGUGCCUUUCAGUGUUUUCCUCUUUUUUUUUUUUUUUAAUUAUGCUUGGAGCCUCUUCUGAACAGUAAAACCUAAAAAAUAUUUGGGAAAAUAUUAAUGUGUCACUUUUGGAUCUGACAGUGUUUGUUUGUUUGCUUGUUUUUGAGGGUAGCAAUUUACAAAGUCCUGCUUUUGGGUCCUUCCUUCCCCACAUCUCUGCUGGGAACUGCCGGUGCCCCCAUCCCACCACGGGAGCCCUGGGCUGGGAACACAGCAGUGCCUGCUGCUGGGGAGGUAACACUGCGAACCAGCCUGCGCAUCUUGCAGCCUCUACAAUAUUGCCAAACCUUGUAACACAGAACCAGAUCCCUUUCCAAACCAGCCCCUUGCAGCCCUUCCUUCCUCUCCAAACUGCACCAAUCUCCAGCCAGAGCGAGCCUUGGGUCUGCCCUGCUUCACCCACCUCGUCGCUUCUGUCCCUGCCUCGCAUCUCCCCGCAGCGGUGUUCCGACGCCUCGCCUCUCUCCCGCUGGCUGAGAGCAGCGUGGAUUUCCUUCCAGCGUGACGGUUGGGGUCACUCUUUCACAACGAGCGCUUUCCUCCCGGUACGAUCAGCUCAGCGUCGCGUCCCGCUGACGCCCAACCAGGAUUUCAAGCUUUUGGGACUGCCUUCCCUGGAAAAAAUUAGCGACAUGUUUGAUUUUAAAUAGCGGAAGCGUGCGGGAAUAAGCUUUUCUGUGUGGGUUCGGAAGUUUGCUAAAACACUCAAUGAGCUGCCUGGAUUUCUCUGAGUCUGGAUCCGGUGAGGGAGCUGGGAUCUGUUCACUGUGCAGCACUGCGCAGCUCACAGUGACUGGAUCCAUCCCCUUGCCUCCCA
rnacentral:lncRNA from 1 species